rnacentral:rRNA from 1 species
UUCGAUGCAACGCGAAGAACUUACCAACGGCUUGACAUACACCGGUAACGCCCAGAGAUGGUGCCCCUUUGUGGUCGGUGGACAGGUGGUGCAUGGUUGUCGUCAGCUCGUGUCGUGAGAUGUUGGGUUAAGUCCCGCAACGAGCGCAACCCUCGUCCUAUGUUGCCAGCGGGUCAUGCCGGGGACUCAUGGGAGACUGCCGGGGUCAACUCGGAGGAAGGUGGGGAUGACGUCAAAUCAUCAUGCCCCUUAUGUCUUGGGCUUCACGCAUGCUACAAUGGCCGGUACAAAGGGCUGCGAUACCGCGAGGUGGAGCGAAUCCCAGAAAGCCGGUCUCAGUUCGGAUUGGGGUCUGCAACUCGACCCCAUGAAGUCGGAGUCGCUAGUAAUCGCAGAUCAGCAACGCUGCGGUGAAUACGUUCCCGGGCCUU